AUGAGAAAUCUCCUGUGGUUACUCUUUGUUAUAACAGCUCUACAAUGUGUCACUUCACAGAUCUCUAUGGUGGAGUCUGGUCCUGGGAUUGUGAGACCAUCAGAGACUCUGGACAUGACCUGUAAAGUGACUGGAGCCUCCCUGACUGAUAGCGCUACCAUGUAUGCUGUAGUCUGGAUCCGCCAAACAAAUCAAGCAGGUUUAGAAUGGUUGGGAAGACUAGAUUAUGAUGAGUACAAAGCAUACAAUCCAUCGGUUCAAGGUCGAUUGACACUGUCAAGAGACACAAAUAAAGGAGAAGUUUAUUUCAAACUCACUGGAGUGAAACCUGAAGAAUCUGGGAAAUAUUAUUGUGCUAGAAUGAAACACAGUGUAACAGAUGAACUGAGGACAUGUACAGUAACUAAUGCAUCCCUAGUAUCUGAAAGUGAAUAUUCACCCUUUUUGUAA